UUUUGCAGCAGGAAAUCAGUCAUAGAAAGUCCUUGGUGCAAAGGUACUGGGGACCACAAAGAGGAGAAGGGAGGAGAAGGAGGCACACAGAGAAGGAGGAAUUGGGAGGACUGGGGAACCUCAUCUCCCAUCCUAAGAAACAUGGCCUGAGUUAUCUCCAGUGCCUGCAGGUAUGUGGGAGAAAAACUUAGAACCUGCUUCUGCUUCUGCUGUAAAAAGGAUGAGGAGGAACCAGAAUCUUUUACUCAACCUAGAGGUCCCCCCGUGGGUGGAUGACGAAGACCACCUCGGAUGGUAGAGUUGCCCCCAAAAUGCAACAGUUCCAUUGAGGGCCAACCCAUGGGGGCAUGAGGCCGAUAAAGGACCGCACAGUUCCUCUGGAACAGUGUCUGGUCCUCUUCCUGCUUCAUAAGAUGCAAGAUUCUUUCAUCCUUCUACCUGGUCAUCACAGACAACACAUGAAAACAGGUUUAUAAACUCCCCUUGGGGCGGAGGUGAACAUGUUUGAUUAUCCUGUGCCUGUGGUGCUAGCAGAGAUAACCUUUGAAAUUACCAAAUGCUGAAAUUAAAUAAAAAGAAAAUAUAUUAAU